GCGGCCUAUCAGCUUGUUGGUGAGGUAAUGGCUCACCAAGGCGACGACGGGUAGCCGGCCUGAGAGGGUGACCGGCCACACUGGAACUGAGACACGGUCCAGACUCCUACGGGAGGCAGCAGUGGGGAAUAUUGCACAAUGGGCGAAAGCCUGAUGCAGCAACGCCGCGUGAGGGAUGAAGGCCUUCGGGUUGUAAACCUCUUUUAGUUGGGAAGAAGCGAAAGUGACGGUACCAACAGAAAAAGCACCGGCUAACUACGUGCCAGCAGCCGCGGUAAUGCGUAGGGUGCAAGCGUUGUCCGGAAUUAUUGGGCGUAAAGAGCUCGUAGGCGGUUUGUCGCGUCUGCUGUGAAAAUCCGAGGCUCAACCUCGGACCUGCAGUGGGUACGGGCAGACUAGAGUGCGGUAGGGGAGACUGGAAUUCCU
rnacentral:rRNA from 1 species